rnacentral:rRNA from 1 species
UCGUGAAAUCUCACGGCUUAACUGUGAGCGUGCGGGCGAUACGGGCAGACUUGAGUACUGCAGGGGAGACUGGAAUUCCUGGUGUAGCGGUGGAAUGCGCAGAUAUCAGGAGGAACACCGGUGGCGAAGGCGGGUCUCUGGGCAGUAACUGACGCUGAGGAGCGAAAGCGUGGGGAGCGAACAGGAUUAGAUACCCUGGUAGUCCACGCCGUAAACGGUGGGUACUAGGUGUGGGUUUCCUUCCUUGGGAUCCGUGCCGUAGCUAACGCAUUAAGUACCCCGCCUGGGGAGUACGGCCGCAAGGCUAAAACUCAAAGAAAUUGACGGGGGCCCGCACAAGCGGCGGAGCAUGUGGAUUAAUUCGAUGCAACGCGAAGAACCUUACCUGGGUUUGACAUGCACAGGACGCCGGCAGAGAUGUCGGUUCCCUUGUGGCCUGUGUGCAGGUGGUGCAUGGCUGUCGUCAGCUCGUGUCGUGAGAUGUUGGGUUAAGUCCCGCAACGAGCGCAACCCUUGUCUCAUGUUGCCAGCGGGUAAUGCCGGGGACUCGUGAGAGACUGCCGGGGUCAACUCGGAGGAAGGUGGGGAUGACGUCAAGUCAUCAUGCCCCUUAUGUCCAGGGCUUCACACAUGCUACAAUGGCCGGUACAAAGGGCUGCGAUGCCGCGAGGUUAAGCGAAUCCUUUUAAAGCCGGUCACAGUU